AGAGUUUGAUCCUGGCUCAGGACGAACGCUGGCGGCGUGCUUAACACAUGCAGUCGAACGAUGAAAGGAAGCUUGCUUCCUUGGAUUAGUGGCGAACGGGUGAGUAACACGUGAGCAAUCUGCCCUUGACUCUGGGAUAAGCGUUGGAAACGACGUCUAAUACCGGAUACGACCCUCGGAGGCAUCUCCUGGGGGUGGAAAGAAUUUUGGUCAAGGAUGAGCUCGCGGCCUAUCAGCUUGUUGGUGAGGUAAUGGCUCACCAAGGCGACGACGGGUAGCCGGCCUGAGAGGGUGACCGGCCACACUGGGACUGAGACACGGCCCAGACUCCUACGGGAGGCAGCAGUGGGGAAUAUUGCACAAUGGGCGAAAGCCUGAUGCAGCAACGCCGCGUGAGGGACGACGGCCUUCGGGUUGUAAACCUCUUUUAGUAGGGAAGAAGCGAAAGUGACGGUACCUGCAGAAAAAGCACCGGCUAACUACGUGCCAGCAGCCGCGGUAAUACGUAGGGUGCAAGCGUUGUCCGGAAUUAUUGGGCGUAAAGAGCUCGUAGGCGGUUUGUCGCGUCUGCUGUGAAAACCCGAGGCUCAACCUCGGGCCUGCAGUGGGUACGGGCAGACUAGAGUGCGGUAGGGGAGAUUGGAAUUCCUGGUGUAGCGGUGGAAUGCGCAGAUAUCAGGAGGAACACCGAUGGCGAAGGCAGAUCUCUGGGCCGUAACUGACGCUGAGGAGCGAAAGCAUGGGGAGCGAACAGGAUUAGAUACCCUGGUAGUCCAUGCCGUAAACGUUGGGAACUAGAUGUGGGGACCAUUCCACGGUCUCCGUGUCGCAGCUAACGCAUUAAGUUCCCCGCCUGGGGAGUACGGCCGCAAGGCUAAAACUCAAAGGAAUUGACGG
rnacentral:rRNA from 1 species